UACGUAGGGGGCAAGCGUUGUCCGGAAUCAUUGGGCGUAAAGAGCGUGUAGGCGGCCAGGUAGGUCUGCUGUGAAAACUCGAGGCUCAACCUCGAGACGUCGGCGGAAACCAUCUGGCUAGAGUCCGGAAGAGGAGAAUGGAAUUCCCGGUGUAGCGGUGAAAUGCGCAGAUAAUCGGGAAGAACACCCGUGGCGAAGGCGGUUCUCUGGGACGGUACUGACGCUGAGACGCGAAAGCGUGGGGAGCGAACAGG
rnacentral:rRNA from 1 species